rnacentral:rRNA from 1 species
GCGAAGGUAGCAUAGUCAGUAGUCUUUUAAUUGGAGGCUUGAAUGAAUGGUUGGACGAGGGAUAAACUGUCUCCUUAGCGGCGUUUGAAUUUAACUUUUGAGUGAAAAGGCUCAAAUUGUUUAGGGGGACGAUAAGACCCUAUAAAACUUAAUAUAAUUUAGGCUUAACUUGCGAUGUGGGUGAAAAGUAGUUUUGUCUGGUUUAUAUUUCGUUGGGGAGAUGAAGAUAUAAUG